AGACGUCUACAUUAGAUACCCGUGUAGUCCCAGCCGUAAACUAUGCGCGUUAGGUGUAUCGGUGACCACGAGUCACCGAGGUGCCGAAGGGAAACCGUGAAACGUGCCGCCUGGGAAGUACGGUCGCAAGGCUGAAACUUAAAGGAAUUGGCGGGGAGCACCGCAACAGGUGGAGCCUGCGGUUUAAUUGGACUCAACGCCGGGAAGCUCACCGGAUAGGACAGCAGAAUGAUUGCCGGGCUGAAGACCCUGCAUGACUAGCUG
rnacentral:rRNA from 1 species